CAUGGCAAUGCUUUCAACAACUCUUCUUUAUUAAAUCGAACGCUAAUGUAACAUUACAUUGGCUUUUGCCAUUAAGCCAGUGAUACUGCACUAUUACGGCUAAUGGCUCUGUUGGUCAUUGCUUUGACAGAUCUGCCCAUAAAUACAGUGUGAGGUCUUGAGCUCCACGUUGCUCUAAUUACAUUGCCCAGGUCUUCAGAGUUGUUUAGGAUCUAAUGGGUCAAAGUGAAGUGUUAUUUAAGUGUUCUUACUUCCCAUCAGAUGCCAGCUGCAUCUCUAACAAUCCCCUUGUUGCCUUGUUGUUCGGGUGACUUUCCACAAACAAGCGGAAGUAAAGUUGUUGAGGUGAAAGUCUGCUGUCAGUGAUGUGAUCUGGCAGGGGAGACAUUCUCUAGAUGUGAGGCUUGGCCUUUGCUGUGAUGCCUGGGAAUUCUCCACAUUAUUGAAGUCUCAACAGCAGAAUUCAUGCAGGUGAUGAGUUGGGCCUAUAUCCUCCUGCAGUGCUUUGGGGUGCCAAAGUGACCUGUUAUAAAGGGCAUCCUCGUCAAGAUGUUUGUUUGUAAGACACUGAACCCCUCCGAGGGCACUACUACACUACAACCACAAAGCGAACUGCACAGGGAAACAACACACAGUGGUAAAGCCUAGAGUGUGACUCCACAGGAACCUGUGCUGCUUGUGCUGUAUUAAACACAGACUCAUCUGUUGUUGACAGAAUUCAAACCAGGCAACCCCACUAUGAGGACAAGACUUUUGAGAGGCUACAUGAGGUUACUGCACCAAGAUAUUGUUUGCUAACUUCUUUUUUGUUAAAUGAACAAAGUGGAACUUGUACAUAAUAAAGCUGUGUUGUUGUGGGCUUUUGUUGUUUUGUUGUUGCAGUUUCCCCUGCUUCCAGCCUUUGUGCUCAGCUAUGUAGGCUAAAAACAUCUUGGACCUACUGUACCUUACA